GAACUACUGAAGGGAUGAACAAAGAUAAUCUUGUACUUUGCGAUUGGUUUUGGAACACCAUGUUCCUUGUAGGCCAAAAAUCUUCCAUCCCUUAGCCUUAUUCUAGGCGCUGUUAUGGGUGGACCGCCAGGCGAACCACAGAUGGUCGGAGGUGGGGGUCGGGCGGCCUGAUAUGCCCACGCCAGCAAUCCAACCAACAAGAUGAAUGUGAUCCUCUUAAACAUGUUUGAGAAGAUGAAGUAUGAAACUUUGCCCAACUGCAGUAAAGAAGCAAAUACAAAAGUAAAUUACACUUGAGGACAUUAUAUAAUAAGUUUUAAGAUAAUUUUUUAUUCAGGUCCAAAAUUAUAAGUUGUUUUUUGGAACGAGUCGAGUAAUCUAAUUACAUAUUUUUGUACCAAUUUUACCCUUUUAGAUAAAAAUAUUUAUAUUCUUUAACUAGAGAGUACAAUUCCUAACUAGCAGGUAUUUUACCAAAAUAGGAAAUUGAUAUACGUAGCAGAUAGUCUAGAAAAAUAUAUUCUAUGUAAUUUAUAUACUCAUUACUCUAUUUAUCACCGUAAAAUGAGUUUAAAUUUCAAGAUAUGCAAGGGCGGAGCGAAGUACAAGGCUACCCUUGUAAGAUCCCACAUCGCGCCCAGGGGUGUGGAUCAUGUAAGCCUUAUAUGUAUAUUCUCAUCUCUACCUAGCACAAGGCCUUUUGGGAGGUCACUGGCUUUGGUUUCCAUCAGAACUUCGAAGUUAAGCAAGUUCGCGCGAGAGCAAUCCUAGGAUAGGUGACCCACUGGGAAGUUCUCAUGUGAGUUCCCAGAAACAAAACCGUGAGGGCGUGGUCGGAGCCUAAAGCGAACAAUAUCAUGCUACGAUGAAGUCGAACCUGGGAUAUGAUAAGGGCCCGGACUGGGAUAUGACAACCCUGAGCCUGGGCUAUAGCCGAGGUAGCUCUUGUGGGUACAAACCAAGUAUUCCCUAUAUUUCAUUUAUUUUUAUAUUCAUCUCACUAUUAGCUCAUGUAUUUAUUUUAUUUAUUUACUUCAUUAACCAAUACUAUUUAUUUCCUAACAAAAUCUAUUUUAUAGUUCAUAUGCUAUCCAUUUAUGGUUAAUCGUGACAAUAAUUACUUACUCUAAUAACGCUUUUAAUUCUUUUCAAAAGUAACUCGUUGCAUGUUUUAGUUUUUGAAUUAUUUUAUGCAUGACUUUUUUCUAUUUAAAAAAGUUUUACAACGUGUUAACCUUUUUCUAUUUAUUUAUGUAUAUAUUUGCCAUAUUAAAGGUUGAUGAACAUAGAAUAAUUGGACGAGCUUUGCUUAUAACAUUAACGUAUAGUCAUUUUUCAAAAAACAAACAUUUUUUAAUACUUCUUGGCUAGCUCCGCCUUUGAAGAUAUGUGGAGUGGACAAACACUGACUUUAAAAUUUAAAUUCACAUGUGAGCAUUAUCACCACUUGACGAUAGUAAGCAAAAAUGCACCCGAAAAAAAAUUAUGAAGAUAAACCCAGCCGUGAGAGGUAGAUGAGGAAGAGAUUUAAUUCCUAAUUACUGAACUUACUUCAAUAAGGAAAUUAUUCUUAAUAAUAAUUAGAUUUAUAUUAAGUUUUCUCGAGUUUUUUAAUUUGGUAUUUCCCCUCAAUUGAAAAUGGUUAUUCAAAUUAGACAACCAGAAAAAUUUAGACUUUUAUCGAAAUAAUAUUCUAAAAUCUAAAUUACAGAAGACGGAUUCUAAUAUUUAAGAGAAGUCUUACUUGAUAUGCACUCCAUUGUUAAACCAAAAUUACAAGAAAGGAAAUCAUAAAAAAUCAUACUUGCUAAUGUGGUUUUUGGGUAAAAACUUACCACCGACCCUCCGCUCCUCCGUCUGUGACAAUAAUUUGUUUAUGCAGAAGAAAAUGGCAGAAAUAGGCUGAGUGAGCAGCUGCUUUUAGCUUUUGUGUGGUGAUGAAGCUGCCGUGUUUGGUGUCUCUUUGCUGCUCAUUUUUUUAAUACCAGUUAAUUUUUGCUCCUUUCUUAACCAAAGUCAAUUUUUUCAAAAUUGGAAAAGAACAUUUAAUAUUAAAGUUAACCAGUUACUUAGUAUCAUAAUCUAGUAGUAUUCAUUUUUAUUUAUAAGUGAGAGGUCUUAGGUUUAAUUUUCGCCAAAAAUGAAUUUGUACCAAAUUAUUGCUAACUCAUUGUGAGACUAAAGAUGGUGUAUUCAAUUAGGAUUUUGAGGGAUUUUAAUUUUUUUAAUGAAUCUAGGGGUAUUCAAUUAGGAUUUUAAAUGAUUAUAUGAAAUUCAAUGUGUAUUCAAUCAGGAUUUUAAGAUAGUUUAUUAAAAUCCUUAGAAAUUCGGGUGUAUUGAAUUAGAAUUUUAAAGAAGUUUAUAACAUUCCAAGUGUAUUCAAUUCGAAUUUGAAUUUAAAGAAUUUGGAAAAGUUAGGAAUUAUAGGGAAUUAGAGAGAUUUUGUAGUGUAUUUUAAGCAUCCAUAAAUCUCACAUAUUCUAUGAGAUUUCGAAGGAAUUAAAUCAAAAUUUUACAUUGAAUCUUUACAAAUCAGUUAAACUCCAUAAAAAUCCAUGGAUUUAUAAAUCCAUUAAAAUCUCUCAAAUUCCCAAUUGAAUACACCCCCAUAAGUCCAUCCCCUUCCCUUUCCAUUUAAGGGGUGUAUUCAAUUGGGAAUUUGAGAGAUUUUAAUGGAUUUAUAAAUCCAUGGAUUUUUAUUGAGUUCAACUGAUUUGUAGAGAUUUUAUGUAAAAUUUUGAUUCAAUUCCCUCGAAAUCUCAUGGGAAAAUGUGAGAUUUGUGAAUGCUUAAAAUACACUACAAAAUCUCUCCAAUUCCCUCUAAUUCCUCAACUUCUCCAAAUUCUCUAAAUUCUAAUUCUAAUUGAAUACACCUAAAAUGUUAUAAACUUUUUUAAAAUUCUAAUUGAAUACACUCGGAUUUCUAAGGAUUUUAAUCAAGUAUUUUAAAAUCCUGAUUGAAUACACAUUGAAUUUCAGAUAAUCACUUAAAAUCCUGAUUGAAUACCCCUAGAUUCAUUAAAAUAAUUAAAAUCCCUCAAAAUCUCACACUCCCUUAGUGUAGAUAAUAUCGUUUGUUAAAAAAAAUUAAAGUUAAUCAGAAUUAGUUAAAAUGACAUGUGUCAGAUGAUAAAGAGUAUUGGUGGUGAGUAAAAGUGUUCACGUUAUUGUUAAAUUACGUGAAGGCCCCCACCUUCACCUAUUUUAACGCUCGUUUGUUGUCUAGGACUGACUUGGCUUAGGUCACCUGCUGACUUUAAUGAAUAUCAAAUAGAAAUAUGGACCAGAUUGCAUAUUUUGUCAAAGUGACGACCGAAGAUGGCAAAGUCAAGAAAAAAACUUGGUCAAUUUAAAUUUAAAUUUUUUAUAAAGAUUAGUAGGAUUAAGGUUUGUUAAUAAUUUUAAUGAGUUAUUUGUCUAUUAUCUCCUCCCCAAGCUUGUAAACAGUUUCUAAUUUUUGUAUGAAUUUUAAUUUUAGUUGAUUAUUUGCUUGAACUUUUAUAAUAACCAAUUUUUAAUCCUAAGAUUAGAUAUUGGAAUUUUUCAUUCAAAACAAAUGUUUGAGACCAAUAAAGUAAUUUUAUUAUUAAUGUGGAUUUCAAAUUGCUUAUUUUUUUUUACCCUUCUCUCUUCCUUUAGUGGACUCCGAACACUUUCUGUUUGAAUCAGUCAUGAGAGUCCAAUAAGCAGCUCUAAUGUAUUGGCUUUCCACUCAAUUUACCAAAAAAAUUUACCUUUUUACCGUCAUACAGUUGUCAUAUAUUGUUUGCAUGACCAUGAUGAAUGAAAAAAAAUUCAAAACCUAAUUGGGAAAAUUUGUUUAUUUAUAAAAGUUUAAAAAUGUAAUCAGCUAAAAUUAAAGUAAAAAAAAAUAUUUAACAACUUUGUAAAAGUUUGGAGAGCAAAUCAAGAAACAUGUCAAUUUCAAUCAAUUAAAAUGAUAGGUGAACAAUUAAAAAAAAAGAAAAAGAAAGAGAAAAUUGGGAAGUUGGUCACGUGGGAAAUGGAAAAAGAACGUUUUUCUUCAAAAUGGGGAGCUGGUCACAUGGGAAGUGUAGAGAUAAUGUUUUUCUUCUUCAUUGGAACUAGGUCCAAGAACAGGAGAAUCAUGGCGGUAUUCUCUGUGUUCCUUUUCGUCUGAAAUUAGAUACUUCUUCUCAACCCUGAAAAUGGAUUGUUGAAGUAAGCUCGGGACUCUUUUGUUCCACAACACCGUAUUCCUUCUCAGGCCUAUUCAAAUGGUUGUAUGGAUAAUGCUUUUAGGCUAAACCGAAGAAUUGGUUUGAAAUGAUUAUCCGAGUUGCUCGCAGUUUGACAGUUUCUGAUGCUUGUUUCAUGCAUUUGUAACUUAUUUUUUGUUCUUUAUUCCAAUUAUGGUCUUUCUAUUCAUUGUCUUUGACACAAUAAUGAAUAAAUUUUCUUUUGUUCAUUCGAAAGUACGGCAUUGCAUCUUUCACUUCUAGCAGGAAUUAGAAAUGGAAGAUUGAUAGAUUUCACUAAAAAUGAUAGCUAGCAGUUGGUACAAGAUUGAUAGAUUUCACUAAAAAUGAUACCUAGCAGUUAGUACAAGCCGGAAAAUGGUGAUCAGUAGAAGAACUAACAGAGUGGCGCUGGCAUGUACAAAGUUUGAUUUUAGUCUCUGUAAUAUAUUUUUUUUAAUUACUAUUAACGGGAGGGGGAGGUUCAAAACUAUUCCAAUAAUUUGAGGGAGAGGGGGUUUCGAGCCCUGGACGCAUAGGUGGAAAUUCAACGUCCUAUUACUAGGAUAUAUUGGACCACAUGCAGGUAUUACAUGGGUGGAAAUUCUAACCCCUUGUCCCUGUAGUAGUUUCAAUUGUCGCGUUUCUAAAGAGAUGCUUUACCUUCCGGGUGUUACAUUUGCACGAAUCACAUUGCAUCUGUCAUUUGUGUAGUUCCAACUUUGCAGUUCGUUCACCUGCCAGGUACGAGUUCGCUGGAUGUAACCAUAAAAAUGGCCUGCGAUAUGGAACAUCAUACAACUAAUUUCGAAUCGACUCUUCAUUAUUUCCUCUAUUUGAAUUGUAACAUUACAAAGAUUUGUCUUGGAACAUAAUUAGUAUAUAAUGUAGCAUCUCUGAGAGAGCUGCCCUGUAUCGACGACGUCAAUGGUCUACUCUUUAAUUAGAAGUGCCUUUAAGAUGACUUCACUCAUACCAUCUGCAGCUGGCAACAAAUGUCCACCACCUGGUAACUCAUGGUAGUGAAUCCAUGGAAGCUUUCCUGCAAUAUAGCGUUGCAGCUCAACUGAGACAAACUUAUCUUCAUCACCCUGCCAUAAAUGGACCGAGCCUUCGUUGUUGACAAAAGGGUUCUUCAGAUCCGUAGGAUCAAAUUCCCAGCUCCCAAAUCCAACUAUGAUGUCGCGAAAGAUGGACUCAGCUUCUCCUUGCUGUGUGGCAUGUUCCUGCCCAAACAAAUAACAAAACAAACAAAAAUCAUCAACGCUGCCGAGUUUCUAUAAAAUCGUAAACAAUUAGCGAUCGAAUAAGGAAAGUACCUUGUGCUUUUCUCUUCCAGAAACCUUUGCAUUCCUAAUGGUUUCCCAAUCUUGGCGGGAAAGCAGAUUCUCUACUUUCCCGGAUAAAACGCUGUGUUUAGGAAAGAAAUUCUGAGUGUUCCACCAGUAGGUUAACCAAGGUAUAUAGUGAGCAGCUCGAAGCGCCCAUUGAUCCUGUGGAGCUUGCUUCUUAUAGGCAUAAGAUGACAGGUUGGCAGGAAGUCCUGGCCACCAGUAGUUGAUCGCAGGAGCGAUCAGUGCUGCUCCAGCUAGCCUGUUGUAACAGGCAUCCCAAACAUAUCGAACUUUAGAGAGAAAUUUCAGUAUCGAACGAUGCAUCAUCAGGUAACGAGGCUGCUUGCAAAAUCUUACCUAUGAGGGAUGUACUGAAGACACUUCCAGAUGACCUGUCCUCCCAUUGAGUAUCCAAUCACAUAAAAUUUGGAUCCGAGUUCCAGCUGAUCACCAAGCUCCUCUAUAUCUAACGCCAAGCUCUUCGUUGUUCGCUUAGGAUCUGGAUCACUUUCACCGUGCCCUGGUCUGUCGAAAGACACAAUGUACACACCUAAAUCUUCAAUAACUUCCUGAGGAAAGAAAAAAAAAACACCCACCACGAAAUCAACCAAUAAAGAGUUGAACUGAAAAAUGGCAAAGAAUCAAGCAGGGCAGUACCGGAGAGACGGCUGUUGCAAUGAUUGGAUCAUGUCGGGGACUAAAGAAGGGAUGAACAAAGAUAAUCUUGUACUUGGCCACUUGUUUUGGAACACCAUGUUCCUUGUAGGCCAAAUAUCUUCCAUCCCUUAGCCUUAUUCUAGGUGCUGUGACGGGUGGACCGCCAGGCGAACCACAGAUGUUCGGAGGUGGUGGUCGGGCGGCCUGAUAUGCCCACGCCAGCAAUCCAACCAACAAGAUGAAUGUGAUCCUCUUAAACAUGUUUGAGAAAAUGGAAAGUAUGAAACUUUGCUCACCUGCAGUAA
rnacentral:lncRNA from 1 species